GAACUUUACAAGCAUAUCAUUAAGCGGAGGAAGAAGGAAACCAACAGGGAUUUGCUUAGUAGCGGCGAGUGAAGCGGCAAAAGCUCAAAUUUGAAAUCUGAUAUCUUCGGUGCCCGAGUUGUAAUUUGAAGAAAGCAGUCUUGGAUUUGGCCUUUGUCUAUGUUCCUCGGAACAGGACGUCAUAGAGGGUGAGAAUCCCGUCUGAUGAGGUGUCCAUUUCUAUGUAAGAUGUUUUCGAAGAGUCGAGUUGUUUGGGAAUGCAGCUCUAAGAGGGUGGUAAAUUCCAUCUAAAGCUAAAUAUUGGCGAGAGACCGAUAGCGAACAAGUACUGUGAAGGAAAGAUGAAAAGAACUUUGAAAAGAGAGUGAAAAAGUACGUGAAAUUGUUGAAAGAGAAGGGUAUUUGAUCAGACUUGGUAUCUAGUCAUCAUUGCUCCUCGUGGGUGAUGGUCUAGCUUUUUACUGGGCCAGCAUCAGUUUUGGUGGCAAGAUAAUGACAGUUGAACGUGGCUCCUCGGAGUGUUAUAGCUUCUGUUGAUAUUGCCUACCGGGACUGAGGUCUGCGGCUUUGCCUAGGAUGCUGGCGUAAUGAUCCAAUACCGCCCGUCUUGAAACAUGGACCAAGGAGUCUAACGUCUAUGCAAGUGUUUGGGUGUAAAACCCAUACGCGUAAUGAAAGUGAACGUAGGUCAGGGCCCUUUGGGUGCACGAUCGACCGAUCCUGAUGUUCUCGGAUGGAUUUGAGUAAGAGCAUAGCUGUUGGGACCCGAAAGAUGGUGAACUAUGCCUGAAUAGGGCGAAGCCAGAGGAAACUCUGGUGGAGGCUCGUAGCGGUUCUGACGUGCAAAUCGAUCGUCAAAUUUGGGUAUAGGGGCGAAA
rnacentral:rRNA from 1 species